rnacentral:rRNA from 1 species
UAAUUGAAGAGUUUGAUCAUGGCUCAGAUUGAACGCUGGCGGCAGGCCUAACACAUGCAAGUCGAGCGGUAACAGGGGAAG